rnacentral:rRNA from 1 species
ACGGGAGGCAGCAGUGGGGAAUAUUGCACAAUGGGGGGAACCCUGAUGCAGCGACGCCGCGUGAGUGAAGACGUAUUUCGGUAUGUAAAGCUCUAUCAGCAGGGAAGAAAAUGACGGUACCUGACUAAGAAGCCCCGGCUAACUACGUGCCAGCAGCCGCGGUAAUACGUAGGGGGCAAGCGUUAUCCGGAUUUACUGGGUGUAAAGGGAGCGUAGACGGCAAUGCAAGUCUGAAGUGAAAUCCCGGGGCUCAACCCCGGAACUGCUUUGGAAACUGUAUAGCUAGAGUGCAGGAGAGGUAAGCGGAAUUCCUAGUGUAGCGGUGAAAUGCGUAGAUAUUCGGAGGAACACCAGUGGCGAAGGCGGCUUACUGGGCUCUAACUGACGCUGAGGCACGAAAGUGUGGGUAGCAAACAGGAUUAGAUACCCUGGUA